CCCCUGGUGGUCUAGUGGUUAGGAUGUGGCGUUCUCAUGGCCGUGACCCAGGUUCGAUUCCCGGUCAGGGAA
rnacentral:tRNA from 1 species